AUGCGCGUGCAGUGCGACGUCUGCGGCCUCGAGCCGGCCGCCGUGCUCUGCUGCGCCGACGAGGCCGCGCUCUGCUCCCCCUGCAACCGCCGCGUCCACCGCGCCAACAAGCUCGCCGGCAAGCACCGCCGCCUCACCCUCCUCCAGCCCUCCCCGGCCGCCAACGACGCCGCCGCGCCGCUCUGCGACGUCUGCAAGGAGCGGAGGGGGCUCGUGUUCUGCGUGGAGGACCGGGCGAUCCUGUGCGCCGACUGCGACGAGCCCAUUCACAGCGCCAACGAGCUCACGGCCAAGCACAGCCGCUUCCUCCUCGUCGGUGCCAAGCUCUCCGCCGACCCCGUGGACCAGGAGAUCCCCUCCCCGGACGGGAGCUCCGUCGAGCAGGACGACUGCUCGGCCUCGGCCGCCGAGGAAGCCCCUGCAGUUCAUGACGCCAGCCACGCCGGAGGAGGAGGAGGAGGAAGCAGCAUCUCAGACUACCUCACCAACAUCUGCCCCGGCUGGCAAGUCGACGAACUCCUCUUCGACGACGCCGCCUUCGUCGCCGUAAGUCGCCGACCGUCUCUUUACCCGGUUCUGUCCACCGCAGCGUACGUGCGAAAACUAAACGCCAAAACCUUUGCACUUGGGCAGAAGCAGAAGGGGCGCGACGAGCAGGUGCCGUUCCUGGACGCCGACCUGUUCGACGUGGUCGCCGCCGAGCGUCCGGGGAAGCGCGGCGCGUGGGCGCCCCACGUGCCGCAUACGCCGGUUCCGGCCUGGGGCCUGCAGGAGUUUCCGGCCGCUUUGGUGGCCCCGGCGGCGGCGGCGAAGGCCAAGCAGGGGCACGUGCGGGAGUGGUACCACAGCGACAGCGACAGCGACGUGUUCGCCGUGCCGGAGAUCACGUCGCCGCCGGCCAAGCGGGCGCGGCCGUCGUCGUUCUGGUGCCUGUGA
rnacentral:rRNA from 1 species